rnacentral:rRNA from 1 species
CCUACGGGAGGCAGUAGUGAGGAAUAUUGGUCAAUGGGCGCGAGCCUGAACCAGCCAAGUAGCGUGAAGGAUGACUGCCCUACGGGUUGUAAAAUUCUUUUAUAAAGGAAUAAAGUGAGGCAGGUGUGCCGUGUGGUAGGUACUUUAUGAAUAAGGAUCGGCUAACUCCGUGCCAGCAGCCGCGGUAAUACGGAGGAUCCGAGCGUUAUCCGGAUUUAUUGGGUUGAAAGGGAGCGUAGAUGGGUUGUUAAGUCAGUUGUGAAAGUUUGCGGCUCAACCGUAAAAUUGCAAUUGAUACUGGCAGUCUUGAGUACAGUUGAGGUAGGCGGAAUUCGUGUUGUAGCGGUGAAAUGCUUAGAUAUCACGAAGAACUCCGAUUGCGAAGGCAGCUUACUAAACUGCCACUGACAUUGAUGCUCGAAAGUGUGGGUAUCAAACAGGAUUAGAUACCCUGGUAGUC